UAGACAAUGUACGGGUUACUGAGGCAGCUGCGUAACUCGAGCUGCUAACUAACACGUAUCGUGCUUUGUCUGUUCAGUUCCUCCUGACUCCAGCUCCACUUCAGAACUCCCGCUCAUCAGAAGAAUGAGGCGUCCAAGUCUUCGUGUUCAACGAGCCAACGCCGGGGCUCCUGCUCGUGGUGAUGAUCUAUCGACCGCGAUGACUGCGGCUCGACACACUCUAGCUGUCUCCAGCGCAUCUGCCUCAGCAUCUCAUCCCUCAAUUCCUGAGAUCAAUACCGGGGCCUCCGCUGUAGCAGGUCGUUCUGAUUGUGCACCGUCCUCUCCGAAGAGAGCUUGGACCCAGCCGGAGGUGCAUCCGGCGGCUGAGUUGGUCGUGAGUGACUAGGGGGUCGCCUCU
rnacentral:sRNA from 1 species